AUCCAGCUGACGAGUUUCAUAUAGGACGCAACGCUCGUCCUGAAU
rnacentral:hammerhead_ribozyme from 1 species